GCUCCGGUCGUCUAGCGGCUAGGACGCCAGAUUCUCGAUCUGGUAACCCGGGUUCGAUUCCCGGUCGGAGUGCCA
rnacentral:tRNA from 1 species